AAGCGAGACAGAAAGAAUGAGGGGGAAACACCUAGCGAAAAACCGAAGGGAAAAAAAAGAGCGAGGGAAAAGACCUAGCGAGAAAAAGAGAGGGGGUUAAAAGACCUGCCGAGAAAGGGCGAGAGGGAAAGACCUAGCGAAAACCCGAGGGGAAAAAAGAAUGAGGGAAAAGACCUAGCGAGGAAAAGCGACGGGUAGAUGUAGCGAAAAACCGAGGGGGGAAAAGAGCGAGGAAAAAGAUCUAGCGAGGAACGGCGAGGAGGAAAGACCUAGGGAGAAAGAGCGAGGGGAAAAAAAAAACCUAACGAGGAGGAGCGAGAGGAAAAGACCUGCCGAGAAAGAGCGAGGAAAGAAAACCUAGCGAGCAGGAGCGAAGGAAAAAGACCUGCGGGAAAAGAUCAAAGCGGGAAAAAUUAGCGAGCAGGAGCGAGGGAAAAAGACCUGCCGAGAAAGAUCGAGGGAGAAAAACAAAAAAAACAAAAAACAGCGAGCAGAAGCGAGGAGGAAAAACCUGCCGAGAAAGAUCGAGAGGAAAAAAACAAAACAACACAAACCUAGCGAGCAGGAGCGAGGAGGAAAAACCUGCGGAGAAGGAGCGAGGGGAAAAGGGCGGCCGAGUCAGACGGCUAAGUGGGGAAAGCGCGCGAGGAAGUGGUGUGAAAAAAGGAUAAAGAUUGAGAAAGAGCGGGCGAAAAAGCUAGGGGAAAGCGGUCUAGAAAGAAGAACCACGGGGCAAGAGCGAUGUUGAAAAUGAAGGAAGGAGUGAGAAGAAAAAAAAAAAAAAACGGAGGAGAAAGAACAAGGGAGAAACGGCGAGAAAAAGAGCGCGGGCGCCGCCAUCCGCCGCUCGGCUCCUCGCUCCGGCUCGCCAAGGCGACCGGGCAACUGCUGCAGCCCGUAGCUGCUUUUAAGUGGUCUGGUGUAGGGCAGACUUUGUGUGUGUUUAAACCAUAACCGGACCUGGGAGCCUCAAACCCUGAACGCACGAACCCCUAUUUUACAAAGCGCUUGGGUGCACAGUACACGGCGGCUUCGGCACGCCCGCUGCUCCCGCUACCGCUGCGCCCGCGCGCGGCCCACUUGGAAAGGAGCAAGAAUCCAUUAAAUGUGGUAGGGGUCCCCCUGCUUGUUCUUAUAGGCAACACAGCUGCUCCUGAUCUUGGAUCUGUAGACUUCAGCGACGUUAGCGGUUGCCUGAAACACGUUGCCCUGAAGUUGUGCACAAAGUUUUUCGAGUGCGCUGCAUUUCAUUCAAUCUAGCUGUGGUGAGUGAAGGGUCUGUUCCUAUGGACCAGUCUG
rnacentral:lncRNA from 1 species